GACGAACGCUGGCGGCGUGCCUAAUACAUGCAAGUUGAGCGCUGAAGGUUGGUACUUGUACCGACUGGAUGAGCAGCGAACGGGUGAGUAACGCGUGGGUAAUCUGCCUUUGAGCGGGGGACAACAUUUGGAAACGAAUGCUAAUACCGCAUAAAAACUUUAAACACAAGUUUUAAGUUUGAAAGAUGCAAUUGCAUCACUCAAAGAUGAUCCCGCGUUGUAUUAGCUAGUUGGUGAGGUAAAGGCUCACCAAGGCGAUGAUACAUAGCCGACCUGAGAGGGUGAGCGGCCACAUUGGGACUGAGACACGGCCCAAACUCCUACGGGAGGCAGCAGUAGGGAACCUUCGGCAAUGGACGAAAGUCUGACCGAGCAACGCCGCGUGAGUGAAGAAGGUUGUCGGAUCGUAAAACUCUGUUGGUAGAGAAGAACGUUGGUGAGAGUGGAAAGCUCAUCAAGUGACGGUAACUACCCAGAAAGGGACGGCUAACUACGUG
rnacentral:rRNA from 1 species